rnacentral:lncRNA from 1 species
GGCAGUUAGAAAAUAUUUUCAUCACAUAGAACAACAGAUGGGCUGUAGAAAUUGAUCUGAAAGGAGCCAGGAUUUAGUGGUAUUUCAGGGGCUGCCAGGCCCCUGAAAUUUUCCAAAUUUCUUCUGACACCAUAGAACCUCAGUCUACCCCAGGUGCCAAAAAUCCCGUUGCUAUGAUAGGCUGAAGGGUUUCUUAAGUAGGAGCUUGGCCAGUACAAACUUUUUAAAGAUCGCUGUGUUGAAUAACUUCCCUUACAAUCAAUCAACCAUCAACAAGAACGAACAUCCCCCAUGUCAUUGGUUCCAGGAAAUCCAGGAAUUUUUUUUUAAAGGCAAAAGCUCUGACCUACUGAUCUGGCUGAUCAAGCUCUUGCUCUAGAUCCUCUAACAUAAUCACUGCCUGUUCCCCACUCUUUGGAUGGUGUUCCCGCAACCAGGCUUGUAAUUCUUC